rnacentral:rRNA from 1 species
CCUACGGGUGGCAGCAGUGGGGAAUAUUGCACAAUGGGGGAAACCCUGAUGCAGCGACGCCGCGUGAGGGAAGAAGGCCUUCGUGAUGUAAAGCUCUAUCAGCAGGGAAGAAAAUUACGGUACCUGAGUAAUCCUCCCCGGCUAACUACGUGCCAGCAGCCGCGGUAAUACGUAGGGGGCAAGCGUUAUCCGGAUUUACUGGGUGUAACGGGAGCGUAGACGGCAGUGCAAGUCUGGAGUGAAAGGCGGGGGCUCAACCCCAGGACUGCUAUGGAAACUGUAAGGCUGGAGUGCAGGAGAGGUAAGUGGAAUUCCUGGUGUAGCGGUGAAAUGCGUAGAUAUUAGGAGGAACACCAGUGGCGAAGGCGGCUUACUGGACUGUAACUGACGUUGAGGCUCGAAAGCGUGGGGAGCAAACAGGAUUAGAUACCCGAGUAGUC